UGCGCUCACAGUAUGUGCCCUCUGGUGGGAAAGCAAAAGCUUCACAGAGAGGGAAUUAAUGCUGAUCAGCCCAUACUCCGCUGAGCUACUUCGUUCCACAAGGUCAGCAGCCAGCUGGCCAGGGAGAGCUUUGCUGGAGAGCAGCUGACACUUGCAGAGGUGUUCAGACAGGAUUCAUCACAGUGGGCAAAGGACAAACCCAUGUUAUAAACAUCACUGCUCCACUCACACAAUUGUUACAGAAGAAUUUCUCUGAAAUUUUCAUCCCUAGUGGGAGAUUUCUAAAACUCUUGUAUGUUUUAUACCAAUAUCCAUCUUCCUUUCUAUCCACAAAGGUAGGAACGACAGAAGCACAGAUCAAAGAUAAGAGUGGAUCUACAUUCCUGUCGCAAUCUGGGGACCUUGACUUCAUUACUUAGGGAACAAAAUUAUUUGAUAACUCUCUGACAUCUUCUGCAUCUUCUGGGAACCUGUUCAGAAUGACCACGUUUGUAAAAUCUGAUAAUGAUCUCUGUGUUGAACUUGAUUGUGUUUCUGUCACUAUGCAGGAGCAGCUGCCAAAGCAAUUCUGAGGACCCAUGUGAGAAGUGUGUACUCUUCAAGUUUUUGUUCCAACAAGUGCAGUUCCAAGUAACUCUUGGAUGUGACUAAUCUGGACGUGCCGAUUUAGGAAUAUCUAAAUUUAGAACCUGCAGAUAACUAGAUCUUCUCUGUUCUCCCUUUACUGGAAGCUCACUCCAAAGAACUAUGAGAGUCAAAGACACUGCUGACACGAGGCAUCAACCUCCCAGUGCCUGCUUUCAAGUCAGAGACAUGGUAUACUUGCAUCUGCAAGUCUACAUUCCUCUAUAUAUCACUGCUAAUUGCCAGAAUAUUACUUUUUCUGGGAACAGUCUCUCUCUGGUUUCAAUAAGAAGCUCUACAUAGAGUGAGAAAUCUUACUCAGGGGAAAUUUUAUUGGGAGCAUGAGGCUUGGCAUCUGGUAGAAGAGCUGAUGCGGCUGAUCUGAACAGACCUCGUGGCCUCUGUGCUUCCAGCUGCCCUCUCAAAUCCCUCAGCUCCCUUUCCACUGCCAAAAGUGCUUGUGUAGCUAAACAGCUGAACCAGGAAUUGAUCCAGCAAACAGACCAUCAAAAAAUAAAUUGUUAUUUUCCAAUUGACACUAUUGUAAAGGGAGAACUGUUCUCAACAGAAAAACAAAGACAUACCUAGAAAAUGGAACAGCUACAGAGCUACACAAAUUACAGUGCAGGAGAAGUUGCUUUGAUGCUACUACUUUGAUGCUAUUCUAAAUAGGUGGGUUUAGAGUUACAUUUUUCUCCCAUUCAAAAAUGGGCUACAUUUCAGAAGUACCCUUGGAAAUGAGCCUGUCCCACUGAGAGGGAGCAAAUCUUAGACAGCUGAGAUGCUGAAUGGUAUAUAUGCACAGUUUACUUUUAAUGGGAUCUCAUUUAUGAGGUAUUUGAGUGGAGCUUGAGAAGCAUCAUUACAUUCUUUUCUCUAUCAGCCAGACUCCCCAGCCAGGAAAACUAGCUUUCUUACAGACUUGCAUGUAACUUGAGUAAGUUAGUUAACAUUUCCUUACAAUCAGCAAUUUACUGGAAUAGUGGAUAAGUGUGAUUAAUUAAAACAAAACAAAAGAAUAAGACCAUUUCUAGGGGGCAAUCUAUUGAAUGCAGUUCAGACAUACAUUAGUGUUCUUCAGAAAGGGUCAACUCAAGUCCAAAAUUUUAUUGGCUCCAGCACUGGUUCUGCUGGGUUUGGCUAACAGCCUGGCCACUCAAAUGGCCCCAUACUUUUAGUUACUUGAAAAUCACUUCCCAUAUGCACCACGCGUGUUCAUGGAACCAGCCUGUGUCAUUCACAUCUAAGUCAAUACAAACUCUGAGAAUCUCAGGCAUGAGGAGCACAGUGCAGAGAUCUUCAGGUGACCCAGAAGGGACAUUCUGAAAGCAAGGAGAACCAGCAGGGGCAACAGCUAUUAAGGCUGCUCACCUGAACAGUUGAGCCUGACUGCACCAGGAUUCCCAAUGAGUACGGCACUAAGCUAAAAUGUCCCGCUAGAAGUGAGCUACCUCCGCGUGAGGCCAGUCGGGGGUACCUGUAUCAGGUCCACCCACCCACCGGGCUAAUCCCGCCACCGCCAGGGAGGCUCUGUGCCGUGGGAGAUGGCACGAGGUGGCGCUCUCUGAUGGCGUCUUCAAAGAGCGCAGUUUGAGGCAGAGCGUCAUUUGUUUGUUGAAGGGCUUUUGGGUGGAAAUUCGUUGGAGCCCCCUCGAGCUUCUGCUCAGCUGUUUGAGGUGGGCGAGUUGCCUGGCAGCCAGCGCUGCUCUGUUCAGCUGCAGCUGUGUCUGCUUGCAGGACUUGGUUGCCUGCUGAAGUGAAGCACGGUCUGUUUAACAAAACACACACUGCUGAGUUUUCUAUACUGAAAAAAGUCAAUGCACAAUGUCCCACGUGUCUUCCAUCUCUUAGUUCAGGGGCAGCAAUAACAUUUUAAGAAGAGUUGACAACAUUUGUGUUGCUUGAGGAUGUUAACAGCUCCAGUGAAGCCAGUCUGUGAUCUGCAGGCCAAGCCAACAGGAAUUCGUAGCCUAACUGAAGAGAGAAAUCAAAUUUGCCUUUGUAUUAUGAUCACCGGAGAAGUCAAUGCCCAGGAUGGUUUCUGAUCAAACUUACCCUGGGAAACACUAAAGGCUUAUCUAUAUCUCAGUGCUGUUACAGGUCAAAUUUAAUUAUUUUACCUUAAAAGGGCACUUGGAAUCCAAAAUAAAAAUAUUUUGUUGAAAAUUA